ACUUUGACUGUGCUAAGGUAGCAUAAUAAAUUGUCUUUUAAUUGAAGUCUUGUAUUAACGGAAAAAUUGAAUAAAAACUGUUUCUUAUUAAUUUUAUAUAAAUUACUUAGAAGGUGAAAAUUCCUUUAUAUUUAAUAUUAGACGAGAAGACCCUAGGAGUUUAAAUAAUUUUGUUGGGGUGACAUAACAGCAAAUGAAAAACCUGUUAUUUUUAAUAAAUUGAAACGAAUAUUUAAUUUUAAUUAAACUACCCUAGGGAUAACAGCAUAAUUUGGAAAAGUUUGUGACCUCGAUGUUGGAUUAGGAAAAAGUAAUAUUAACUAUAUUUCUUUUUUGUUCUGUUCGAAC
rnacentral:rRNA from 1 species